UACAGAGGGGGCAAGCGUUGUUCGGAAUUACUGGGCGUAAAGCGCGUGUAGGCGGCUUGGCAAGUUGGAUGUGAAAGCCCACGGCUCAACCGUGGAAGCGCAUCCAAAACUGCUUCGCUCGAGUCUCGGAGAGGAAGGUGGAAUGCUUGGUGUAGAGGUGAAAUUCGUAGAUAUCAAGCAGAACACCUGCGGCGAAGGCGGCCUUCUGGACGAUGACUGACGCUGAGAAGCGAAAGCAUGGGGAGCGAACAGG
rnacentral:rRNA from 1 species